rnacentral:RNase_P_RNA from 1 species
UAAACAUUCCGAGCGAUCGCGGGCAUCAAACGAAAGGCGAUGUCUGAGGAAAGUCCGGGCUCCUACGGGAAAGGAUAACGGAUAACGUCCGCCGAAGGUGACUUCCGAGAUAGUGCAACAGAAAAAAACCGCCGCAAGGCAAGGGUGAAAAGGCGAGGUAAGAGCUCACCGGGACGAUGGUAACACCGUCCGCUGUGUAAACCUUAUCCGGAGCAAUGCCGUGACGCGACCCCACAGGUCUCCCGUCCGGGGUACAGAGGCAGCUGGAGAUCUGCGGUAACGCAGAUUCGAGAUAGAUGAUCGCAUAACACAGAACCCGGCUUACAGGAAUGUUUACAUA